UGGGGAAUAUUGGACAAUGGGCGAAAGCCUGAUCCAGCCAUGCCGCGUGUGUGAAGAAGGUCUUCGGAUUGUAAAGCACUUUAAGUUGGGAGGAAGGGCAUUAACCUAAUACGUUAGUGUUUUGACGUUACCGACAGAAUAAGCACCGGCUAAUUCUGUGCCAGCAGCCGCGGUAAUACAGAGGGUGCAAGCGUUAAUCGGAAUUACUGGGCGUAAAGCGCGCGUAGGUGGUUUGUUAAGUUGGAUGUGAAAGCCCCGGGCUCAACCUGGGAACUGCAUCCAAAACUGGCAAGCUAGAGUACGGUAGAGGGUGGUGGAAUUUCCUGUGUAGCGGUGAAAUGCGUAGAUAUAGGAAGGAACACCAGUGGCGAAGGCGACCACCUGGACUGAUACUGACACUGAGGUGCGAAAGCGUGGGGAGCAAACA
rnacentral:rRNA from 1 species